AUUAACCCUAUUGUAAACAUAGCAGUUUCUCUGAAACUGCUAUGUUUACAGCAAAAAGGGUUAAACCUAGAUGGACCUGGCACCCAGACCACUUCAUUAAGCUGAAGUGGUCUGGGUGCCUAUAGUGGUCCUUUAAAACAUAUUAGUUAAAGCAUAUAUUUGUGUCCCAUGUCCCUUAACCUUGCAAUGGUAAUUACUGCAGCUUUUGCGAAACUGAAAUAAUUACAUUGCAGGGUUAACUCCACCUCUAGUGGCUGUUUACCAGACAGCCACUAGAGGGACUUGCGGGUGGUUAGGCGACUUUUGGUCGUCUAACUGACACUGGACGUCUUUACGCUAUGCAUGAAGACAUCUAGCGUCAUCCAGAAUCCCCACUUGAAAGCAUUAUACAAUGCUUUCCCAUGGGGGAAAUCCUAAUGAGAGCGUGGCGAGGAUUGGAGCUGGAGCCUGAACCAGCGCCAAGGGACAUUGGUGCUGGACUCAGGUAAGUGACAGAAGUGGUUUUUAGACACUAUAGUUUCCCUUUAGUUUUCCAACAUAUGCGCAAUUUCCUACAAGAUCAUCUAAGAGAACUAUCAUUGCUCAAUAUACAGUAUUAGGUCACCCUUACCGCAUAACCUCAGUAGAUAAAUCACAACUUUUCAGGGGACAAUAUCCUUGUUCCACUGAAAGUGUAUAAAAGGAACCUUCUUACUCAG